rnacentral:rRNA from 1 species
AGCAGCCGCGGUAAUUCCAGCUCCAAUAGCGUAUAUUAAAGUUGCUGCAGUUAAAAAGCUCGUAGUUGAAUUUCGGGACUAAUAUGUCGGUCGUGCCUCGGUACGUACUGGCUUAUUGGUUUCUCCUUUCUGAAGAACCAUGAUGUCAUUUAUUUGGUGUCGUGAGGAAUCAGGACUGUUACUUUGAAAAAAUUAGAGUGUUUAAAGCAGGCUCACGCUUGAAUACAUUAGCAUGGAAUAAUGAAAUAGGACGUUUGAUUCUAUUUUGUUGGUUUCUAGGAUCGACGUAAUGAUUAAUAGGGAUAGUUGGGGGCAUUAGUAUUCAAUUGUCAGAGGUGAAAUUCUUGGAUUUAUUGAAGACUAACUACUGCGAAAGCAUUUGCCAAGGAUGUCUUCAUUAAUCAAGAACGAAAGUUAGGGGAUCGAAGACGAUCAGAUACCGUCGUAGUCUUAACCAUAAACUAUGCCGACUAGGGAUCGGAUGAUGUUAAUUUUUAAUGUA